CAUGAGGAUUCUUUGUGCUCUGCUUCUGCUAUUGUUGAUUCAAAGGGACACAUUUGCACAGACAAUAACACCACUGGAGAACAAGGCAAUUGCGUAUGAGGGAGAAAAAUUCACUCUUUCCUGUAAAUGUGAAGGAGCUGUACAGAACCUACAAUGGUACCGCCAUUAUCCGAGAUCCACACCUGAAUUCCUGGUUUGGAUUUAUCUACAGGGAAGCACAAGUGACCCUGUUCCCCGUCUUCUACCAAAAGUUGAUAAAGGCAACAAUCUUGUGCAUCUGGAGAUCUUUCCUGCUGAAGUAAAAGACUCUGCACUGUACUACUGCGCACUGACGCCCACAAUGACAGAAAUCUCAUCUACACUGUACAAAAACCUCAUGAGCAAUAAAACUCCUCAUACAAGUUUAUGGAAACACCCAAACCCCCUUCUUCAAGUUCUUUUUCUUUAG